rnacentral:lncRNA from 1 species
ACCCAUAUUUAAGGAGGUAAAUUUAUUAAAGGCAUACCUAAAGCGACUAACGGGUUAUUAUAUUUACCAGGGACCGUGAAUUUCACUAAACGGUACGCCCCAAAUUCUAAGUAUUUUUAUUAAAAAUUUAAUGAGGGCCCCGCAAUUUAUGCAUUUUUGUUUGGCGAGGCUCAUCUCAUUUUACGUUUUAAAGGCCAACCUAAAGCAAACUAUGAUUUUCUAUUUAUUUUUUCUCUAAAAGGGCCAAAUUAAUUUACAUUUAUAAAUUCGGGCCUCGAGUUCAAGUCCGAAUUAAAACAAAAGGGAAGACCCACUUAAUUUGAACACGCUACCUAACUCGAGAACCUAAAUUUAUAUUGCAAAUUAAUCCCUAGAUCCCUAAUAUAAUUUUAAAUGAUUUUUGACUUCUAGCAUUUUUGGGCCUUGAAGGUUUGGCCCAGGUCUCAGACUAACUGACUCAAAGAAUAAUUGGGCUUUCUGAAUUGCUUUUGUCCAACCCAAUCAACCCAGUGUUUAUCAAUCCAACAGGCUUGAGAAACACUGUCCUGUAGCUACAUCACAGGCCCAAUUAGAGCUGAAACUAACGAGUGACACUAACCUUUGAGAAAUAUGUUGAAUCCUAUUUAAUUACUCAAGGUUUCAAUAGUCGGAAGCACCAUUUUUAUACUGUAGCUAUUUGUUUCUUUGCGUAAAUCAUCAAUUAACAUGAAACGCCAUGUGAAUAACGAUCUGAGUUUUCCUUUUUGACUUAGGCUUAUUACACAGAUGGCCUAGUUGAGUUAUAUCAAAAUGUGAAAAACUGAAUAAUAUGGAAUGCUGCCCAAGUCAAAUUCAUUUUCUCCACUUAUAUUUUCCAAGUCUAAGUCAACGGAUUAUUAAUCAUAAAUGAAGAUCUGGAAUGCUGUUGCAUAAAAUCAAAGACUAAACUAUUCACCAAACGAAAUAUACUAAGCUAAUGACCAAUCAACAAUCCAAUACCAAUUAAUAGCCUUUUGACAGACCAAAUCAGUUUAAAUCAGUCCUAAUUAUACAGUCCAAAUAAUCCAUGGUAAGGUUAAACUGAUUUCUACAAUUACACACAUCAACUCCUAUUUAAUUAUAAAAAACAAAGAUUCAUCUAAAUAUGAAAGAGUAGGAAUGCAGUAAGCUAAUGGAGCAUGAGAAAUUGUGCAUUGACUUGUAUUCACUUGCAAAUACAUGCUAUACAGCUGUGUAGAAGCAGAAUGAGUACCUGGGAAUUGAAAUACAAUAAGAAAGGAGGGAUCAGCAGCAGUUCAAAGCACAGCAAAAGAAUCAGCAGAUCCCAGCAAGUCUGCUUAAAAUCCAGCAGUGAAAAACCAGCAAAACAAGUCCAAAAAUUGAUUGAGCUGAUAAAUUUAGCUUGAAAUCAGCCUUGGAGAUGUUUCAAUUAACCAACUAGGAACAACUUAAACAGGCUCAAAUGAGUUAGAAAAUGGAUCCAGGAACACUUAAUAACCUCAGCACUCCAAUGUCCAACCCAAGGAUGAAAAUUAAUGCCUAGUAUUGAUACCUAAUUUUUUCCUAUAUAUUUUUGCACCCAAAAUACUUUUGAAAUAGUAUAUGUAUGCAUAUAUAUAUAUAUAAGCAUGCUUGUAAAUUUUGGUAUUUUUCCUUAAUUUUUUAAGAGUUUUAAAAUAAAGUUACUGACUUUUUUUUACAGUAUAAAUGUCAAAAUUAUUACUUUUAGUGAAUAAUAUGUUUCACUCUCAUAUUUACAAUAAGAUAUAAUUUAUGUAAUUUUUGCACAAUUUUUAAAAAUUUAUUUGGAAUUUUUAAAGCUAGUUGCAUAAAAUUGCAAUUAUAGCCUACUUUUACAAUUAAUUAUGAUUUAUAGUUAUAAAAUUAUUUCUAAUAUUUUUAGAUUAAUACUUAUAUGUUAUUAAUUAGUUUGAUGCUUUCAAUUUGACAUUUUAAACUAUUUUAGCUGUUUUUAUAAAAUAAAUUGCGAGAAAUUGGCUAUUUAAAAGUUAGCUAGAUUUUAUUUAAAUUAUAGCCUAAGUUGAACACCCAAGUCAGCCCUAUUUUUGAACCCAAUUAGACGAACCAGUUCAUAAAAUAACAGGCCCAUACCCAUCAAUUUACCCGACCCAUCUUUGAUUCAAUCUGAGCCGUUGAUCAAAUGAGAUCAACGGCCCAGAUUUAAUUUCCUAAAUUAAAACCUAAUGAACCCCACCCCUCACCCUCAUUUGCAAGAGACUGGUCUCUCUCUCUCUUGAACCCUUCGUCUCUAUGUUCUCUCUAGAACCUUCUGGUUAACUCUCUAAUUUCCGAUGGUCUUCAUCGCCGUUCCGGCCACCUCCACCCUCAUUCCUCUCGACCACCAUUCACCAUGGAACCUCAUCUCAUUAUAUCUCUCUAAGGCUCAAAGUCCAGAAGCUUCCGCCAUGGAAGAUAGCCACUGAAGCUUCGCCUAAGUCUAUGCAGGUCUUUCUCCGGUGGUUUAUAGUCCGAUGAUGCCUUAAACUCCGUUAUUGAUGAGUUUCACGGCCAGAUUCUUCCUUUCUCUAAUUCGUUCGAAAACCCUAAUUUUUCUACUCAAAUCUCUUUAAUAUUUGUUCUUUUAAAAUGAUUUUUAGUUUAAGUUUUGUUUUCUACUCUAUUUCUCACUCAAUAUCUCUGAUUAUCUCAAGUUUUUCGAUGAUUUUUCUCUUUUUCAAAAUUAGGGUAUCUGACCCAUUUGUCAAAAUUGCUUCUUCUACUUUUCUGGAGUAUUAUGUGUUUGUCCGUGUUGUGAGUUUUUUGGUUUCCUUUUUAAGUUGAGUUGCAUNNNNNNNNNNNNNNNNNNNNNNNNNNNNNNNNNNNNNNNNNNNNNNNNNNNNNNNNNNNNNNNNNNNNNNNNNNNNNNNNNNNNNNNNNNNNNNNNNNNNNNNNNNNNNNNNNNNNNNNNNNNNNNNNNNNNNNNNNNNNNNNNNNNNNNNNNNNNNNNNNNNNNNNNNNNNNNNNNNNNNNNNNNNNNNNNNNNNNNNNNNNNNNNNNNNNNNNNNNNUUUUUCGAUGAUUUUUCUCUUUUUCAAAAUUAGGGUUUCUGACCCCUUUUCAAAAUCGUAUGUCUUCUGCUUUUCUUGAGUGUUAUGUGUUUGUUCGUGCUUGUUUUUGUUACGAGUGUGUUUAGUUUCCUUGUUAACCUGAGUUCCAUGCCUUAAUUUCUUGCUAUGGUUCCGACUCUUUGUUGCUCCCAUGCUUUCUUGCUUAGGGUUCUCUGAUUUUUAUGUCUAUUGUGCUUUAUAGGCCUAAAUGUUCAUCAUUCGUGUAAUAUUCUACUGAUUUUGUACAUCUCUGCGAAUUUUUGAUUUGUAUGUGAUUUUCCUUAGACGCUUUACACUGAUUUCUUUUGAAUUACUUCCUUACUUAGAUAGGUUUUCCUUACUUAGAUACCAUUCCCUCUGAUUUUUUUGUCUUGUCCGUGAUUCUUUGAUUAAUUAUCAAAAUUAAUUAGUAUUCCCUUACCAUAUUUGUGCAUGAGCAGUCGUUUGAAUCUUUAACAUAUAUUUUCCUUACUUGAAUUAGUAUGUAUCUAACCCAUAUUGCAUAUUAUAUGCUCUACUACUUUUACUAGGGUAAAUGCAGAGUCCGAUUGAUUCUUUUCCUUUUUAAACCCACUGCUUGUUACCGUUUGUCUUUGAUUCCUUAGUUAAAGGGGAGUCCUUAUAUUAAUUGGAUUUUGAUUGAUGCCAGUUCCUUAAUUAUAGUUUGCUGCCUUGUUUGUUUACUAGUUUUAGGUCUAUAAGUACCCUCUUCCAUAUUGCUGCCAUAUUACUAGUUUUGCUCCCUUAAAAAAAUAUUGCAUAUCUCUCACAAGUUCAAACUCUCGGAACUCUCUCUCAGUUUCUCUAUUGUUUCUAUACUCUCUCAUUCUUCUAUUUGAACACUCAAUCGGCUGAAGGCCAAGAUUGAGCAAUCUUGCCUUUUCAUUUCUACACUACUAGGGUUCCACAGCAUUAUUUUACUUGGGCUUGCUUGUUGCUUGCUUCUCUGCACUGGCGUUCUCACACUGCUACUCUCAUUCUCUACACACUUUGCUCUCUUUCUGUGCAUUAUUGCUCAUUGUUCUUAUGUUCUAUUUCCCUACAACUGGUAUGCGAUCUAUUUAGUAUAAUUCCGAAACAAUAUGCUUUUGUUAGUUCUGCACUUCACCUUGUUCCUUGUGUGUUUUUACCUAUGGUUCUGCUGCUCUUGUUAUAACUAGCAUGUGUUUAUCAGUUUUCCUAGUUUAACUCAGCAUGCUUCCCUUAGCCCAUUCCUCAUCUCAAUGAAUGUUUACUUUUCCUUGUGUACGACUACCAUGUAUCCUGGUCUGCUUUGCUACUUGAUUAGCCUAAAACCUCUUCCUGAGGUUGAUUGUAUUAGAGUUUGGUGCAGUAAGAACUGAACUCUUGUUUUGCAACCAUUUCUGAUUACUUUACUCCAAUGUGUUGACUGUGUGAGUAGUUUAUUUUGCUUAUUUGUUCCCUUCCCAUUUGUCCUUGUUUGUGUGAUGCUCUGUUUUUCUAAAACCUAGUCAGUCCAAAUGAUUUCAAAAGAACUCUUUCAACUGUUUUCAGAAACUGUCUCAACUGUUUUCAAUUCUCUCAGUCCUACCACAAUCUCACUACUCUUAGAACAUUAGGUUCUACCCCCUUAGUGUGAGCAUUGCUUUGAGAGACCUUGAGCACCCAUUGAACUUUGAUGUACAAGACUGGCACUUCCACACUUGCACUUGUCAAAUAAUGAUAUUUUGGGUGCUUGGUAUUGCCCAGGGGUUCAAACGAACCCUUAGGGAACUUUGCCGCACCCAAACCUUGGUAUUGGGUGUGAAAUUGGAAAUAAGGGAGGUUGGAGCUUUUUGGCUAGGCCAAAUGCUCCCUAUAGAAUAACUUCUUGUUUUUUUUAUCAUUUGUAUUUAAUUAUUUGGGUUGUAAUAAUUUGUAAAAAAGGAUGGGGGUUUAUAAUGAAUUGGGAGGGUUAUACAUGCUUAAGUUAAGGGAAUGGGUUGACAACAUGUCCAUAGGUCUUUAUUUAUUGCUUGUGCAAUGGAUACCAUGCUUUAGGACAUGCAUCUCUGCAUAUAGAAAUCAUGUUCCUAGGAUUUUCACUCUCAGUUGUUACUCUGCACGUUCUCUUAAUCACAAUUAGGGGUGGCAAAUGGGCGGGUUUGGCUGAAUUUGGGCGGGUCAAGAUGGGUUAGGUAAUAAAUGGGUCAUUGCCCAACCCAGCCCAAAGUAUAUUUGGGCUAGGAUGGGUUGGGUCAAGAUGGGCUAAACAAUGGGUCAUAACUGAACCCGUCCAACUUGACCCAUAUUUUAGAACCAUGCUAAUCUUGCAUAAAAAAAAUAUUUUACCUUAAAAUAUAUAAAUUGACAAAUAUUUUAUAGAUAGGGAGAUGGGGUUGGGGUAGGUGGGUGAUGCGUAAAAAUAAAAAAACAAAAAAUUAAAAAUACAAAAAAAAGUACAAAUUUUUUUNNNNNNNNNNNNNNNNNNNNNNNNNNNNNNNNNNNNNNNNNNNNNNNNNNNNNNNNNNNNNNNNNNNNNNNNNNNNNNNNNNNNNNNNNNNNNNNNNNNNNNNNNNNNNNNNNNNNNNNNNNNNNNNNNNNNNNNNNNNNNNNNNNNNNNNNNNNNNNNNNNNNNNNNNNNNNNNNNNNNNNNNNNNNNNNNNNNNNNNNNNNNNNNNUUAAGGGGGAGGGUGGGUGGUGUAGAAAUACAAAAAAAUAAAAAAAUGAAAAUACAAAAAAAGUAAAACAUUAUUUGGGGGGUAAGGGGUAGGGCUAGGGUGAGCGGGUGGGUGGUGUAGAAAACAAAAGAAUAGAAAAUUUAAAAUAUAUAAAAAAAUUAGGACAACUAAGUAAAUUUCUAGAUAAGUUGGGUUGAGAUCCUUUGUUGUGGGUGAGUUUCAUUGGUUGUAUUUGGGCUGUUAAAUGUGUCAUAAUUGGCUAUAAAAAAUAAUGGGUUAACUUGGGCUCAACCAAAUUAACCCAUGAGCUAAAAUGUUGUAGCUCAACCCAUUAAUCUCUGAGUUAGUUGGGCGGGUUAAAUGAAAUUGUGAUUAAAUUGCCACCCCUAAUCACAAUGAAUCAAUAAUCAACAAGUCAUUAGCAUCACAUUUAGAUACCAUGUGUAUAUGACUUUUGUGCAUUAGAUAUCCGGCCCUUUAGGAUUUUUAUUUGCAACUGUUUAAACACUUCACUAAAUUGGUAAAAUUGGUUAACGACUCUCAUUUUAAAAGUGGAAGCAAAUGUACAUGCUCACAAUCUUUAAUAAUGCCUAGGCAAGCCUUAGGCCGGAUAUAAACUGACUAAUCACCUUAAAGCCGUGUUUAAAUUAAUACGCCUCUGUCUGAACUCGUUUAUCUCUGAAGUCCUCUAAUUUCAUACAAACAUCUGCCCUAUUUUUAUACUAUCUAUGCAAAAGGUUUUAACUGUAUUUUUUCUCCAGAAUUGGACUACUAUUUCAACUAUCAGAAUACUGUAAUUUUCAAAAGCUCAAAAGCUAGUAUGUUUGCUGUCUCUCUUUACACUUAUGCAAUCUCAAAAUAUUUUCAUAUUUGUCCUUUCACUCUGCCUGUCUAAAAAACUGUUUUACCAUAUGUUCCACAAAUGUUUUUUCUAAGUAUUUUAUGCAGAUUACUAAAACUGCUACUGCCUUCUUAAAGUUCUAAAUGCUUUUCUUACGACCUCUUUUCUUCAAAAACUCUCCUGCUUCUGUUUUUAACUUAUACUCCAGCUUUGUAGAACUCUCACUCUUCCUUAAGACCAUAAAUCUGUCUGAGACGUGCUAAUUACGUGUUUAUUCUUAGGGGGUAUUUGAGCCUUUUAUAUAUUUAUAUGAUCCCCUUAUGUGCAUGUCCUAUUUAUUCUUGUAUGUCGUCUAGCAUUUUAACCUUUAAACUUAAAGGUUCAGCCUAGUUCUUACCUUAUAGGAAUAGUGAUCCUAAAUGCCUUCUAGGAUCUAUAGGAUGGGAUGGAUAAUAACACACAGUAAGUAUUCGUGACCAAUCUACACGCUUAAAUAACCUAUACGGGGCGGGAAGGGUAGAAUUUGGAGAUGAUGACGAUGCGAUAAUAUCAUAAAGCAACCACUCUUUGGGAAUAUCUGCGGGAUAUUGUAUCAAAUGAUCCAUAUUAUAGUUAAACCUAGGAAUCCCCCCCCCCCUCUUACUUUUGUCUGAGUACUUUCUCUAAAAUAUUCCCUUUUACUUAUACUAUUCUUCUUGCAAAACUGCCCAUUAGUUUUUUGUAUUCUUUAUAUGCACACUUACCUGUCUAUUUCUAUGCUCCUUAAAGUCAUAUCUAAGCAAGGCCGGGAACCACACCAGUGGAUCUUGAGGAUUGCCUAAUACCUUCCCCUCGAGAUAAUUCAAGCCCUUACCCGAACUGUUGUUUUCAUUCAAAAUAUUCUUCUUCUUAAAAGUGUCCUAACACUAUAAUCAUUAGGUGGCGACUCUUCAAACUCCUUAACCCAAUUCCCACAAAGGGAAUAAGAGUUUUUUGCCCAUAAUGUCGUAAACCCAAUUUCGGUUCUUUUAGGGGAGGGAAAAAAGGGGGCGUCGACAGCAUGGCGACUCUGCUGGGGAUUUUCGUUAAGGCUUUUACCAUUACUUGCUUUUGUGACUUUAUUUCUUACUUAAUUGCAUUUAUUUUUCGUCUUUGAUUAUUCCAUCACAAUUACUAACUUGACUUUCCAUGUUUUCUUUUUCCUUUAACUGCUUUCCUUACCGCUCUAUUAUAUCAAUAUUGUUUUAAUUUCGAGCAACUAUUGUGAUCAUUUAUCUUAUGAACGUGAAAAUACAUGUAACUUGUUUCAUUAUUGUAAUUGCAUCUCUCAACAUCAUCUUCCACUCGUACCGAUACAAAUCUUACAGCAACGCUUAUAAUGAGUGGUUGCGCCCUUCAGAUAUUACAAACCCCCUAAAUGUAUCAAAUGCAUAUUUGCGGUAAAAUCUGUCGAUCAAACAAAUCCUAUAGCAACACUUACAAUGAGGGGUUGCGCUCUUCCAAAAUUAUAAAUCCCAUAAAUGUGGCAAAGGUAAACUUGCGGUAAAACUAGUCGAUCAACGGUGUAGUCGAUGGUUCCGCGCCUUUCCCUCUUAAGUUGUCCGCUCAAAGGUACCUUUUCUUGCACUUCAAAAGUAUAAACCUUAUUCCUUUAAAAUGUUCAUGCAUCAAGGUCAACCUUAGCCGAGUCAGGUAUGUUGUACGCAUAAUGACUCAUUAAGAUAGCCAACACCAAAGUCCAUCGGGUUUCCUGAAACCCAAGCUGACGCCUUCACGUUAUGUGCAUUUAUUUGGAGAACUGAAUGCUUUUUACUAAUUAUUGAUUUAAAUAGUCGAGUCUGGUGGGGUUAAGUGCCUAAGAGUUUGUUUUGCAAAAAUGAGGCACGAGGUCCCCAGAUUCGGUAUGGUAUCCAACAUCCACCCAAGGUUGCUGAGGGGGUUAAGGGCCUAACACUUUGUUUUGAAGAAAAUGAGGCACGAGGUCCCCAGAUUCGGUAUGGUAUCCAUCAUCCACCCAAGGUUGCUGAGCUGGCGGGAGGAUCUUCAUUGCAGUGAUCAAACCCUCGUCCGUAAGCACCUAGGGAAUUUUCCUUCGCUUUUGGAAAUCCAACCCAAUAAUAAAAUAAUUGAGGCUGCCACUUUGUUUUGGGAUGGUGAUCGAUCAGUAUUCCGUUUUGGAGAUGACCCCUUUGCUAGAAGAAAUAGGGGGCCUAGCUGGCAUCCCUUAGGAAAUGCUGGGUUUACUCAUGCCGGAGAAUCGCAAAAUUAGAGAUUUCCUUAAAAUGAUGGGACUCAAGAAAAAUCCCAACCUUUCUUUCUUGAAGGACUCUUACAUACCAUUCGAAUCCCUAUGCGAGAGAUAUGGCCACAGUAAGUCCUAUCGCACCUACAUGGAUGAAUUCUCCCUCACCUCUUUGGGGAACAUACAUAGAAGGGUGUUUGUGUUUAUGUUUUGCUUGAGAGAUACGAUCACAGUAAUUUUUAUCACACCUACAUGGAUGAAUUCGCGCUCACCUCUUUGGAGCACAUACAUAGAAGGGUGUUUGUGUUUAUGUUUUGCUUCUUGGGCAUGAUAAUAUUUCCUAUGAAGAAGGCUAAGAUCCACACCAGACUAGUCAUGGUUACUAAGACAUUAAUGGAAGGGAUCGAUGGACAAUCAUUCAGCAUAGUACCUAUAAUCCUCGCGGAAGUCUAUCGAGCCUUGGGGAAGUGCCAACAAGGGGCUCCACAUUUCGAGGGUUGUAACUUAUUACUUCAACUAUGGCUCCUAGAUAACCUUCAGAAAGGCGACUACAGACAGGAAUCAUACGAAGAGAUUGGGAUGACCAUAUCGCUUUUCAUCAUCCAAAGUGAAUGAACUUCAUGCCCAAUAUGUUCUCUCAGCCAGAGGAUGCUAGUGGAUAGGUAAAGUUAUUGGAGAAUCUUAAAGAAGAGCCAAUUCAGUGGAUGUUCGAGUGGUUCCCAACAGGGGAGUUUAUUGUCCGUUCUCGAGAUGCACAGUUCCUCAUACUCAUUGGCCUGAGGGGAACUCAUCCUUACAUGCCCCUAUGAGUGAUGAGGCAAGUCGGAAGGAAACAAAUAAUACCCAGGAUGGAAAAAAUGGGUCACUUGAAGGCCGACUUUCAAAAUGAUGAUAGCCCACAUAGGUGUCAUGCUCAACAUAUGUGGCACUACAAGCUCGUUCUAGGGAAGGAUUCUAUUGAACCAGACAUGUAUCAUGUCGGGUAUGUGCCGCAUUACACAGGUUUUUUGGAAGAUGAUCACAUUGGUUUGGGUCGCCCAACGUUUGUCCAUGGUCACAUAAUUAUUCACGAGAAAGCUGAGGCACAAGUCAAAUACAAUCAACUGCGCAAGAUGAUGAGAGAAUGUGAGAACAAACAUCGGGAAAUACAAGAAGCCCACAAAAAGCUGAUCAACGAGUGGAAGGAUAUGGCUGUCAACGCCAACAAUCAUUUGGGGCAUCUGGAGCAAGGUUUGGUAGAGUUGGAAGGAAAGUUCUUGCAAAGGAUCAAAGACGGUCAGAAUGCUGAGGGAAGCACAGGCGUACAUUUGGCUCGAGCCUACCUACUGUUAGGGAUGCGCGAGUUGAUGCAGCUAUGCGGUGGAGGCAAGAAUACUGAAUCUGGGGAAGUUCCUUCUGAGACAAAGUAGUUAGGAGUCUUUUCUUUUGCUUUAAUUAUGUAAUAAGGCCAAUGGCAAUUAGUGACAUUUUAUUUAGUGUCGCUUUGGGAUUCGUCUAAUUUUUAUCAAUAAAUAAGGCAUUUAGCAUUAUAAGUCCUCCAAAUUUUAUUUUUCGCUAGGCCUACCUCGGGCAUAACGAGGCACCAAAAUUAUGAAGCAAUAUAUCUUCCCCCACAAUGUGUUUAAAUAUUGCAAUAUAAUUUAUCGUAAUCCGCACUACGUGUUUACCUUUUUAUUUUUCUUUUAUUUUUAUUCCCCUCCCCAUAGGUUAGUUCGUGCAUUCUGGCAUCAUCAGCAUACUCCACAAGAUAAAAGGGUCCUCCACCUCCUCAUUCUCCGAGUCCUCCCAGAAAAAGGAACAAGAACAAAAUGGAAGAUACCAAUGCUAGAAAGGAAGUCGGAGAGGCUUCAAUCACCAAAGAAACUGCUGCUCAUCUUGAGCAAUUUUAGCUGAAGUUUCGAGAAGAGUUGGAACAAGUCCAAAACUUGGCAAGUCUGUCGAUCACUCUUGUUGCUGCUGAUGCCAACAAAUCACCACUGCCGCCACCACCCCAGCCUGCUUAGACCUAAGUCCGCAACACAUGCAACAAUGCUCCACUGCUUAUCCCGGAGCCCCAAAACACCUCAGAUAACCAAAACACUCCUAUAUUUGUGGAUGUUGUAUCACAUUACGGUCAGCCAAUCACCAAUGUAGCUGAGUUAGAUGACAAAAGCUCCCUCAUUCAGAAUUGGCUGCUGAGAUUAAUAAGUUGACAAACCGGGUUCAAGGUUUCGAAGGUAACAAGGGAGUUUAAAGGGUUGAAUUACUAAGAUCUCUGUGUUCAACCAGAUGUUGAGCUCCCGGAGGGGUACAAACCUCCCAAGUUCGAAUUGUUCGAUGGUAUCGGGGAUCCCAGGGUUCUCUUGAGAAUGUAUUGUGACAAGCUAGUAGGAUUCGGUAGGGAUGAGAAUACCUGUAUGAAGCUAUUCAUGAGGAGCUUGAAGGGUGAUGCCUUAUCCUGGUAUAUUAGCCAGGAUGCGAAAAAAUGGACUAGUUGGGUAAACAUGGCGUCUGAUUUCAUGGAUCUAUUUAGGUUCAACACUGAGAAUGCACCAGAUGUGUUCUAUAUUCAGAAUCUCAAAAAGAAGCCCACAGAGACCUUUCGCGAGUAUGCUACUCGUUGGAGGUCAAAAGCUGACUGGUCUUGGAGGAAGAACAAAUGAACAGAUUCUUUGUCUGUGCUCAAGAUCCACUGUACUAUAAAAGAUUGAUGCUAAUUGAGGGUCAAAAGUUCUCCGAUAUCAUCAAAUUAGGAGAAAGGAUUGAAGAAGGCAUCAAGAACAGUAUGGUCACUAACCUUGAGGCAUUGCAAUCCACCAACAAGGCUCUAUAGUCUUGUGGCUCGAGAAAGAAGAAGGAUUUAAAUUCCGUAAUGGCUUCGGAAAGAAACAACUCUCCCAAGAAGUACCAAACCUAUCCCUCAGCCCCACUUUCUAAGGUAAGACCGGCCUUAGAGGAAAAACAAAUUAGCAGAUUCUUUGUAUCUGCUCAAGAUCCACAGUACUAUGAAAGAUUGAUGCUAAUUGAGGGUCAAAAGUUCUCUGAUAUCAUCAAAUUGGGGGAAAGGAUUGAAGAAGGCAUCAAGAAUGGUAUGGUCACUAACCUCGAGGCAUUGCAAGCUACCAACAGGGCUUUGCAGUCUGGUAGCUCAUCAAAGAAAAAGGAUGUAAAUUCUUAAUGGCUGUGGAAAGAAACAACUAUCCCAGGAAGUACCAAACCUAUCUCUCAGCACCACUCACACAUCAGCCUACCCUAAAUUACCAAGCAGCAUCACCCACUUACCAAAUUCCACCACCUGCUUACCAAUCACCACCACCACUUAUAUAUCAACCCACUUCACCCAGAUAUUCUUAACCUGCACCCAUAUACCAAGCAUAUAACACCCAACCUUCUCAUUAUUCAUCACCUCCUACUCGCCAAAAUUUCUGUCGACCUAGGCCAAACUUUGACCGCAAACCUCGUAGGAAAUACACCGCCAUAGCCGAGCCGAUUGACCAAUUAUAUGAGAAACUCAAAGCACCAGGUUAGAUUUCUCCUAUCCCAGCCGUAACUCUAGAAAACUUUUCCUAGUUGAUCAAACCAAACAAUAUUUGCACAUACCAUUCCGGGAUGAAUGGUCAUACCAUUGACGAGUGUCACUCGUUAAAAGACAAGAUUCAAAAUCUGAUUUACAAUAAGAUUAUUAUAGCAAAGGAGCAUGCUCCUAAUGUGCACAAUAACCCUCUGCCUGACAACAAGGGUGGAGGAAUCCACAUGAUCGAGAUCGAAGAUGAUUAGGACCCUAAGGGGUCAAUAGGUUUGAUAGCUGAAGGAGAUGAGCCUAAGAAGCCAACGGUUACUCUCAAUCCCAUUGUCGUCCAGAUUCAGCCCUCUGAGGGUGACAUGGUAACUGUAUCCAUGCCAUUCGAAUUUGAAGUACCUUGUGCAACGAUGCCAAAACCAAUUGAGGUUGAGUUCGGAGUUCCAAAACAAUCUCCACCAUUUGAAAUUGUUGUGUUUCCUCCCAAGGGACCUAUUCCAGUCUCCAUGUCAGACAUGACCCCGUUCCAAACAAAUGCUAUACCGCGGGAUUAAACUACUGAGGCUAGAAGAAAAGGAAAGACACAUACUGGAGAAGCAAUUACAAUACAAGGCAUGACCAGGACAGGCAGGGUAUAUACCACGGAACAUUUGGCUGAGUCUAACAAGUAGGCCUCUGGGCGGGCUGUGGAAACUGGACCCGAUGACCUCUGGAGAAAGGUACAGGCCAAAGAGUACUUGGUCAUUGAGCAGUUGAACAAGACAAGGACGCAGAUUUCUAUUCUGGCCCUCCUACAAAGCUCUGAGGAACAUAAAAACACCUUGAUAAAGAUGCUAAGUGAAGCCUAUGUUCCCAGCAACAUAACAGGAGGCGAAAUGGAAAAUAUGGUGGGACAGAUACUGAAAUCCAUAAGAUCACCUUCCACGAAGAUGAAUUACCACCGGAACCGCUUGGUCACAACAAAGCGUUGCACAUCACUGCGCAAUACGAGGAUCACUUUAUCACCAGGAUUCUAGUCGACGGGGGAUCCAACUUCAAUGUUUAUCUGUUGGUCACUCUAAGGACAUUGGGCAAGGACUGCACGAGAUCAAGGACAUGGCUAUCAGUGUCAAGGUUUUUGACGGAUCUUAGAGGUGCACCAUUGAGGAAAUUAGCUUAUGCCUGCAGAUGGGACCCACCUGGUUCGACGUCGAGUUCCAAGUCAUUGACGUACCAGCAUCCUAAAACUUAUUACUAGGAAAACCCUGGUUCCACGCCGCUGGGGCUGUAGCAUCAACGUUGCAUCAAGCUAUGAAAUUUGUGUGGAAUCAGCAAGAAGUAAUAAUUCAUGGCGACGGUAGCAACCCUAUAUACAGUCGCCAGGCUAUCCUGAUGAUCAGAGGAAGAAGAAGAAUAAGUGGAGAAACAUACCAUCAUAUCGAGCGAGUCAAUGCCAUAGACAAGGAUAAGUGUUGGGAUAGAAAAAUCAAGAGCAUAUUUAAUUGGAGCAGAUACGAAGCGGGAAAGGGUCUUGGCAAGAAUAUCCAGGGUAUCACCAAGCCCAUGCGUUAGAGAGGUCAAAAAUUUUGAGAACAAACCUAAGUCCAAUAGAUGAAACCGAGUUCAUUAAUAUGAGAGAGGCAAAAAAUGUCAAGGAAACACGAAUCAUCGUACGCUUGUCACCAUCACAAAAGGAAGAAUACACAGAGUUUCAGAAAGAGUAUGAGGACAUAUUCGCCUGGUCGUAUGAUGAUAUGACCGGCCUCAGCACAUCUUUUGUGGCUCACAAGUUGCCGACAGAUCCUACAUGCCCAUCGGUCAAGCAGAAACUCAAAAUAUUCAAGCCAGACAUGAGUUUGAAAAUCAAAGAAGAAGUCACAAAGCAAGUCAAAGCCAGGGUUCUCAGAGUGGCAGAGUAUCCAACAUGGUUAGCCAACGUUGUGCUAGUGCCAAAGAAGGAUGGGAAGGUUAAAAUAUGUGUCGACUACCGGGAUCUCAACCGGGCCAAUCCUAAGUCCAACAUGGUUAUCCAACGUUGUACCGGUGCCAAAUAAGGACGGGAAGGUUAGAGUCUGUGUCGACUAUCGGGAUAUCAACCGAGCCAAUCCUAAAGACGACUUUCCUUUGCCAAAUAUACACAUAUUGAUCAAAAACUGUGCCAAACAUGAGCUGCAGUCGUUCGUCGAUUGUUUUGCUAGGUACCGUCAGAUAUGGAUGGACGAAGAGGAUGCAGAAAAAACGGCAUUCAUCACGCCGUGGGGAAUGUAUUAUUACAGAAUGAUGCCCUUCGUUUUGAAGAAUGCUGGUGCUACCUACAUGAGAUCCAUGACCACAAUCUUUCAUGAUAUGAUACACAAGGAGAUUGAGGUAUAUGUGGACGAUGUCAUCAUUAAAUCCAGAAAAGUUGCAGAUCACAUGGAAGAUUUUAGAAAAUUCUUCAAUAGACUGCGGAGAUACAACUUGAAACUGAACCGCGCCAAGUGUGCGUUUGGGGUCCCAGUCAGAAAAUAUUGGGUUUCAUUAUGAGUUGUCGAGGAAUAGAACUGGAUCCGUCAAAAGUCAAGGCCGUUCAAGAGUUGCCACCACCAAAGAACAAGAAAGAGGUAAUGAGUUUUGUUGGGAGGCUCAACUAUAUAAGCCGAUUCAUAGCUCAAUCCACUAUCAUUUGUGAACCCAUCCUCAUGAUGCUAAAGAAAUAUGCCGCCACUAAGAGGACUGAUGCUUGUCAAAAGGCUUUUGACAGAAUCAUGGAAUACUUGUCAAUGCCGCCAGUCUUAGUUCCACCUGAGCCAGGGAGACCUCUAUUGCUUUAUCUUGCAGUGUUGGAUGGGGCAUUUAGUUGUAUUUUGGGACAACAUGGCAAAAUAGGGAGGAAGGAGGAGACCAUCUACUACCUCAGCAAGAAGUUUACUCCUUACAAGAGGAUCGGUAUUCCUUAUUAGAGCGCACUUGUUGUGCAUUAACCUAGGUAGCUCAGAAAUUGAGGCAUUAUUUUUACGUUUACACCACUCAUCUCAUAUCUAAGAUGGAUCCAGUGAAGUACAUCUUUCACAAGCCCAUGCCUAUAGGCAAGCUCGCCAAGUGGCAGAUACUGUUAAGUGUGUUUGACAUCAUUUAUGUUACCUGCGCUUACACCAGUCAUCUUAUAUCCAGGAUGGAUCCAUUGAAGUAUAUUUUCCAGAAACCCAUGCGUGCUGGCAAGCUCACCAAGUGGCAGAUUUUAUUAAGUGAAUUUGACAUCAUUUAUAUUACCCAGAAGGCGGUCAAAGGACAAGCCCUGGUGGUUCACCUCGAUGAGAAUCCUGUAGGAGGAGAAUACGAACCCUUAAAGACAUAUUUUCCCCGAUAAAGAGAUAGCCUUCAUAGGCUAAGAUAUUGCAGAAUCCUAUGACGGUUGGAGGAUGUUUUUCGACGUAGCCGCAAACUUCAAAGGAGGGGUAUAGGAGCGGUUUUGGUAUCAGAAACUGAUCAUCUUUACACGGAGUCCGCCAAGCUCAGAUUCCCCUGCACCAACAAUAUGGCCGAGUACGAAGCCUGCAUCUUAGGGCUCAAGCUGGCUAUUGAUAUGAACAUUCAAGAACUAUUAGUGAUCGGAGAAUCAGACAUACUCUUACAUUAGGUCCGAGAAGAAUGGGCAACAAAAAAUUCCAAAAUACUCCCCUAUCUACACCAUGUGCAGGAUUUGAGGAAAAGAUUCAGAAAGACGGAAUUCCAGCAUGUUCCUAGAACACGGAACGAGUUCGCUUAUGCUUUAGCCAUUUUAUCAUCCAUGUUCCAACAUUCGGAUACAAAAUUUAUUGGUCCCAUCCCAGUCAAGAUUCCCGACCAGCCAGCUUAUUGUGCUCACGUCGAGGAAGAAGCCGACGGGAAACCAUGGUUCCAUUAUAUUAGGGAAUAUUUGACAACAGGAGAGUACCCAGAGCUUGCCAAUGCUACUCUGAAACGAACACUUCGAAGAUUGUCCAAUAAAUUCAUUCACAUUGGAGGAAUCUUGUAUAGGAGGACUCCUGAAUUAGGAUUAUUAAGGUGUGUCGAGGAAAAAGAAGCAACCAGACUAUUGGAGGAAAUGCACGCGGGAACUUGUGGACCACAUAUGAAUGGUUUUGUUUUGGCAAAGAAGAUACUUCGAGCAGGUUAUUUUUUGAUGACUAUGGAGACAGACUGCAUUCAAAACAUCCGAAAAUGCCACCGAUGUCAAGUACGUGUAGAUGUGAUAAAGGUGCUUUCAAACGAGCAUACUGUGACAAGCUCACCAUGGUCGUUCGUCGCUUGUGGUACGGACGUCACUGGAUAAAUCGAUCCAGCCGCGUCAAAUAGGCACAGGUUCAUCCUAGUGGAAAUCGAUUAAUUUACCAAAUGGGUUGAAGCAACAUCAUACAAGGCAGUCACCAACAAGGUAGUUGCAGAUUUCGUCCGAGAUCAUAUGGUUUGUCGGUUCGGGGUUCCGGAAUCAGUCAUCACCGACAAUGGUUCUAAUCUCAACAGCGACCUGAUAAAGGCAAUGUGCGAAACAUUCAAGAUCAGACAUAAGAACUCUACGUCUUACAGACCUUAGACGAAUACAGUUGUGGAAGCAGCCAAUAAGAACGGUAAGAAGAUACUAAGGAAAAUGAUUGAAAAGUACCAGUACUGGUAUCAAAAAUUGUCGUUCGCUUUGGUGGCUUACCGUACCAUAGUCCGCACAUCGACCGGGCAACUCACUACAUGCUAUUUUAUGGUACAAAGGCGGUCAUCCCCGCUGAGGUAGAAAUUCCAUCCUUAAGGGUCAUACAAGAAGUAGAAUUAGAUGAUGCAGAAUUUGUUAGAAGUCGCUACAAGCAGUUAGCGCUCAUCAACGGGAAGAGAAUGAAUGUUGUUUAUCACGGUCAAUUAUAUCAGAAUAGAAAACCCAGAGCCUUCAACAAGAAAGUCAAGCCAAGGAAGUUUACACAUGAGCAACUGGUGUUAACGAAAAUAUUUCUACAUCAAGAUGAAACCAAAGGGAAAUUCUCUCCCAACUGGCAGGGUCCAUACAUGAUUCACCGGGUAUUAACUGGAGGAGCCCAUAUUCUCGCAGAAAUGGACGGAGAAAUCUGGCCUAAGCCUAUUAACUCAGACGCAGUGAAGAGAUACUACAUUUAAUCACAUGCUUUCUUUUAUGAUGUAAUUUGAACUACACUUGACCUGAUUCCUGUUUAAGAGGGGAUACGUAGGCAUCCCUAUGGGUUCGGUCGCAUUGUUAAAAAAAAAAUCACUUUCCCCACUAUUGGAACUGGGGCAAAAUUUUUAGGAGGAUCCUCAAAUUUCCGAAUUCAGUUUUUCAAUCUCUUCAUCAGCACCGACCCAGUAAACUGGGGCAAAAAUUUGAGGGGGUCAUCAAGCACAGCCGUCAGCAGUGCCGACCCGAUACACUCGAGCAAAAUUUUGAGGAGGACCCUCAAAAUUCCGAAGCAAGCAAGGUCGUCGUGGCUUGAACCACGUUGCAGUCAUUGGUUUAUCCAAAAUAAAAGCAUUUUUUCUAUAUAUAUGUACUUGCUUCAUAUUUACUGAGUCAUGCAUAAACCCACUUACACCACCGUUGUUUAGCAAUGCUACCCUCAUUAUACACGACGCCAAAAUCUAGAAGAAAUGAGCUAACCUUCCUCCUACAUAACUGACGAUUUUUCUUUGGAUGCAUGAAUUCAGGUUACGGAUCAAAGCACAUUCAUUUUUCGGGAUCCAAACCCUCAUAUGGUCAAUAUCUGCACUCCCCAACAGUCUUAAUCUCGCAAAGUCAUCUACCAGCUAAGAAAACCUAUUACUCUUCGCUCUUUUACAUUCUUGCAUUGCAUAAGGAUCUUAUGUGCCUUUCGAGACUAAGCUCUGUCUCCAUCUGCAUUUUGCAUAAGGCUAUCUUCUGCCUUUCGAGGCUAGCCUCUACCUCCAUAUUGCAUAAUGCUCUUAUCUGCCUUUCGAGACUAAGCUUUGUCUCCAUCUGCAUUUUGUAUAAGGCUAUUUUUUGCCUUCCAAGGCUAAGUUUUGCCUCCAUAUUGCAUAAGGCUCUUAUCUGCCUUUCGAGACUAAGCUCUGUUUCCAUCUGCAUUUUUGCAUAAGGCUAUUUUCUGCCUUCCAAGGCUAUGCUCUGCCUCCACAUUGCAUAAAGCUAUCAUAUGCAUUUCGAGACUAAGCUCCGUCUCCAUCGGUGUUCUUGAUAAGGCUACUUUCUGCCUUCCGAGAUUAAGCGCUAGCUCCAUAUUGCAUAAGGCUAUUAUUUGCCUUUCAAGACUAAGCAUUGUCUCUGCCUUGCAUGGCUAAUAUAUCGCCGCUUUAUUCUUCGACUAGCUGAAACAUCGCCACCUGCAUUUGAAAUUCUCAUCUGGCUAAAAUAUCGCCAUCUGUUUUAAUUUCUCGCUAGGGCUGAAAGAUCGCCACCCUUUGCAUUUAUUUGGCUGAAUGAUUGCCACUUUUCUCAUGGGCUGAAAGAUCACCAACUCGUUCAAAAGAGUCAUAGUACGAAGGCACCAUCUGUGUAGCCCUAGAACAUCAUUCCAUGGUCUGCAAACCUUUAAUUUUAUGCUUUUCAUGGCCCGGAACAUUAUAGUCUGAGGAUAUCAUCCGACCAUCCAAGGACAAAUAUUCAGGGUCCAAUGGGAACUUGAAUCAUGUUUAAAUUAUGCAAUAUGUAUGCGCAUCGCCCAUUUGCAGGUGUUCCGGUUAUCAUACGGCCGCCUUAGCAGCACCGAUCCCGCUCUAGUUCUUCGCAGUUCGUCCAAGCUACAUAUCCCUUUCAAAUCUAACCAUCACGUCAGUUAUUUCAAAUUUCCAUCGGCAAUAUUCCGCCUUUGGUUCCUGAACUACAUAUGGCCUGAUUCCUAUAAAACCAUGGAUAUAUAGGCAGCUCAGAAACUAGGGCGCGGUCAAAAUCCUUCUACCUUCUUCGAUUGCGGUCAAAAUUGGCCAUCUUAUCUUCACUCGACAACUCUUUCAUCCUCUGCUGCUAAAGAGGGGCAGUUGUUGACACCCGAUUUUUUCCUAUAUAUUUUUGUACCCAAAAUACUUUCAAAACAGUAUAUGUAUGCAUAUAUAAGCAUGCCUAGAAAUUUUGGUAUUUUCCCUUAAUUGUCUAAGAGUUUUAAAAUAAAUUUACUACCUAUUUUUGAUAGUAUGAAGGUCAAAAUUAUUUAUUUUAGUAAAUAGUGUGCUUCACUCUCACAUUUACAACAAGAUAUAAUUAUAUAAUUUUUUCAGAUUUUUUACUAAUUUAUUUGGAAUUUUAAAAGCUAGUUGCAUGAAAUUACAAUUAUGGCCUACUUUUGCAAUUAAUUAUGAUUUAUAGUUAUAAAAUUAUUUCUAAUAUUUUUAGGUUAAUAUUUAUAUGUUAAAAAUUAGAUUAAACUAUUUUAGCUAUUUUAUAAAAUAUAUUGGGAGAAAUUGGCUAUUUAAUAGUUAGCAGAUUUUAUUUAAAUUAUAGCCUAAAUUGAACCCCCAUGUAAGCCCGAUUUUUAAACCCAAUUAGACGACCCAGUUCAUAAAAUAACCCGUCCCAUACCCAUAAAUUUACCCGACCCAGCCUUGAUUCGAUCUGAGUCGUUGAUCAAAUGAGAUCAACGGUCCAGAUUUAAUUUCUAAAUUAAAACCUAAUGACCCCUACCCCCACCCUCAUUUGAAAGAGACCGGUCUAUCUCUCUUGAAACCUUCGUGUCUAAGUUCUCUCUCUAAUCUCCGAUGGUCUUCAUCGCCGUUCUGGCCACCUCCACCCUAAUUCCUCUCUACCAACAUUCACCAUGGAACCUCAUCUCAUUAUCUCUCUCUAAGGUUUGAAGUUUAGAAGCUUCCGCCAUGAAAGAUAGCCACUGAAGCUUCGCCUAAGUUUGUGCCGGCCUUUCUCCGGUGGUUUUUUGUCCUAUGAUGCCAUAAACCCCGUUAUUGAUGAAUUUCACGGCCAGGUUCUUCCUUGCUCUAAUUCGUUUGCAAACCAUAAUUUUUCUACUCAAAUCUUUUUAAUCUUUGUUCUUUUAAAAUGAUUUUUGUUUAAGUUUUUGUUCCUACUCUAUUUCUCACUCAAUAUCUCUGAAUAUCUCAACUUUUCAGAUGAUUUUUCUCUUUUUCAAAAUUAGGGUUCCCGACCCCUUUUCAAAAUCGUAUGUCUUCUGAUUUUCUUGAGUGUUAUGUGUUUGUUUAUGUUACGAGUUUUUCUGAUUUCCUUGUUACCCUGAGUUCCAUGCCUUAAUUUCUUGCUAGGGUUCCAACCCUUUGUUGCUCCUAUGCUUUCUUCCUUACGGUUCUCUGAUUUUCAUGUCUAUUGUGCUUUAUAGGCCUAAAUGUUUUCGUGUAAUAUUCUACUGAUUUUGUACAUCUCUAUGAAUCUUUGAUUUGUAUGUGAUUUUCCUUAGAUGUUUUACACUGAUUUCUUUUGAAUUACUUCCUUACUUAGAUAGGUUUUCCUUACUUAGAAACAACUCCCUCUGACUUUUUGGUCUUGUCCGUGAUUCUUUGACAUAGGUUUUCCUUACUUAGAAACAAUUCCCUCUGUUUUUUUGGUCUUGUCCGUGAUUCUUUGACUAAUUGUCAGAACUAAUUUGUAUUCCCUUACCAUAUUUUUGUGUGAGCAGCCGUUUGAAUCUUCAGCAUAUAUUUUCUGUACUUGAAUUAUUAUGUGUCUAACCCCUAUUGCAUAUUAUAUGCUCUACUACUCUUACUAGGGUAAAUGCAGAGUCUGAUUGAUUCUUUUCCUUUUUAAACAAACUGCUUGUUACCGUUUGUCUUUGAUUCCUUAGUUAAAAGGGAGUCCUUAUACUGAUUAGAUUUUGAUUGAUUCCAGUUCCUUAAUUAUAGUUUGAUGCCUUGUUUGUUUACUCAUUUUAGUACUAUAAGUACCCUAUUCCAUUCUCUUUGAGAGACACUAGCACACAUAGCAUAUCUCUGACAAGUUCAAACUCUCUGAACUCGUUCAAAUUCUCUGAACUCUCUCUCACUUUCUCUACUGUUUCUAUACUCUCUCAUUCUUCUAUUUGAACACUCAAUCUGCUGAAUCUUGGCUGUUUAUUUCUACACUACUAGGGUUCCACUGCAUUAUUUACUUGGGUUUGCCUGCUGCUUACUUCUCUGCACUGCUUUUCUCACACUACUGCUCUUAUUCUCUGCACACUUUGCUCUCUUCUUGUACAUUAUUUCUCAUUGCUCUUGUGUUCUAUUUUCCUGCAAGUGGUAUGUCAUCUAUUUGGUGUACAAUUUCCAAAACAACAUGUUUUUUGUAGUUGUUCACUUCAUCUUUUUCCUUGUGUGUUUUUACCUACGGUUCUGUUUCUCUUAAUGUCACUAGCAUGUGUUUAUCAGUCUGCGUAGUUUAACUCAGCAUGCUCCCUUUACCCUAUUCCCCGUCUCAAUGAAUGUUUACUUUUCCUUGUGUAUUACUACCAUGUAUCCUGGUUUGCUUGGCUACUUGAUUAGCCUAAAACCUCUUCCUGAGGUUGAUUGUAUUAGUGUUUGGUGCAGUAAGAAAUGAACUCUUGUUUUGCAACAAUGUCUGAUUACUUUACUCCAAUGUGUUGCCUGUGUGAGUAGUUUAAUUUGCUUAUUUGUUCCCUUCCCCUUUGCCCUUGUUUGCGUGAUGCUUUGUUUUUUCUAAAAACUAGUCAGUCCAAAUGAUUUCAAAAGAACCGUUUCAACUGUUUUCAACUCUCUCAGUCCUACCACAAUCUCACUACCUAAAAAUUAGUCAGUCCAAAUGAUUUCAAAAGAAAUCUUUCAACUAUUUUCUCAAACUGUCUCAACUGUUUUCGGCUCUCCCAGUCCUACCACAAUCUCACUACUCUUAGAACAUUAGGUUCUGCCCCCUUGGUGUACACAUUGCCUUGGGAGACCUUGAGCACCCAUUGCACUUUGAUGCACAAGGCUGGCACUUCCACCCUUGCACUCGUCAAGUAAUGAUAUUUUGGGUGAUUGGUAUUGGCCAGGGGUUCAAACGAACCCUUAGGGAACUUUGCCGCACCUAAACAUUAGUACUGGCUGUGAAAUUCGAAAGAAGUGAGGUUGGAGAUGUUUGGCGUGGCUGAAGGCUCCCUAUUGAAUAACUUUUUAUUUUCUUUUAAUCACGGUUGUAUUUAAUUAUUUGGGCUGUAAUAAUUAGUGAAGAAUGACGGGGUUUAUAGUGAAUUGGGAUGAUUAUGCAUGCUUAAGUUAAGAAAAUGGGUACACAACAUGUCCUUGGGUAUUUAUUUCUUCAUUGUGCAAUAGAUACCAUGCUUUAGGACAUGCAUCUCUGCAUAUUGAAAUCAUGUUCCUAGGACUUUCACUCUCACUUGUUACUUUGCACGUUUUCUUAAUCACAAUCAAUCGAUAAUCAACAAGUCAUUAGCAUCAAAUUUGGAUACCAUGUGUAUAGGACUUUUGUGCAUUAGAUAUCCUGCCCUUUAGGAUUUUAUUUGCAACUUUCAAAACACUUCGCUAAAUUGGUAAAAUUGGUUAACGACUAUCCUUUUAAAACAUGAAGCAAAUGUGCAUGCUCACCAUCUUUAAUAACGCCUAGGCAAGCCAUAGGCCGGAUAAAAAAUGACUAAUCACCUUUAAGUCGUGUUCAAAUUAACUCGCCUCUGUCUGUACUCGUUUGUCUCUGAAGUCCUCUAAUUUUAUACAAACUUCUGCCCUAUUUUUAAACUAUCUAUGCAAAAGGUUUUUACUGUAUUUCUUGUCCAAAAUUGGACUACUAUUUCAACUAUCUGGAUACUGUACUUUUCAAAAUCUCAAAAGCUAGUAUGUUUAUUGUCUCUCUUUACACUUCUGCAAUCUUAAAAUAUUUUCAUACUUGCCCUUUCACUCUACCUAUCCGAAAAACUAUUUUACCAUAUGUCCCGCAAAUGUUUUUCUAAGUAAUUUCUGCAAAUUACUAAAACUGCUACUGCCUUCUUAAAGUUCUGAACGCUAUUCUUACGACCUCUUUGUCCAGAAUUGGACUACUAUUUCAACUAUCUGAAUACUGUAAUUUUCAAAAGCUCAAAAGCUAGUAUGUUUACUGACUCUCUUUACACUUCUGCAAUCUCAAAAUAUUUUCAUAUUUGUCCUUCCACUCUGCCUGUCCGAAAAACUGUUUUACCAUAUGUUCCACAAAUGUUUUUUCUUAGUAAUUUCUGCAGAUUACCAAAACUGCUACUGCCUUCAUAAAGUUCUGAACGUUUUUCUUACGACCUCUUUUCUGCAAAAACUCUCCAUCUUCUGGUUUUAACUUAUACUCCAGCUUUCUAAAACUCUCUCUCUUCCUUAAGACUUUAAAUGUGUCUGAGACGCGCUAAUUACGUGUUUAUUCUUAGGUGGUAUUUGAGAUUUUUAUAUGUUUAUAUGAUCCCCUUAUGUGCAAGUCCUAUUUACUCUUAUAUGUCGUCUAGCAUUUUAACCUUUAAACAUAAGGGUUCAGCCUAGCUCCUACCUUAUAGGAAUAGUAUUCCUAGCCCUCUAGGAUCUAUAGGAUGGGACGGGUAAUAGCACGCAGUAAGUAUUCGUGACCAAUCCACACGCUUAAAUAACUUCUACGGGGCGAGAAGGGUAGAAUAUAGAGAUGAUGAGGAUGCGAUAAUAUCAUAAAGCGACCCCUCUUUGGGAAUAUGUGCGGUAUAUUAUAUCGAAUGAUCCAUAUUAUAGAUAAACCUAGGACCCCUUACUUUUGUCGGAGUACUUUCUCUUAAAAAUUUCCCUUUUACUUAUGCUAUUCUUCUUUCAAUAUUUCUCAUUAGUUUUUUGUAUUCCUUAUAUGAACAUUUGCCUGUCUAUUUCUGUGCUCCUUAAAGUCAUAUCUAAGCAAGGCCGGGAACCACACUAGUGGAUCUUGAGGUGUUCCUAACACCUUCCCCUCGAGAUAAUUUCAUGCCCUUACACGAACCCUGGUUUUCAUUCAAAAUCUUCUUCUUCUUAAAAGUGUCCUAAUGCAUUUUAAUCAUUAGGUGGCGGCUCUUCAAACUCCUUAAUCUAAUUCCUACAAAGGGAAUAAGAGUUGUUUUGUCCAUAAUGUCGUAAAUCCAAUUUUACUUCUUUUAGGAGAGGGGAAAAGGGGGCGUCAACACCUAGAAUUCAGGAAUCAACCUCGAGAAUUCAAUUGAAACAAUGUUUUUCGAGUUUUUUACUGUAUUUUUGUUUGUUUUUUUUGUUUUUUCUUUGGAAGGAAUGAAGAUCUAAAGAAGUUUGAACUACAGAAUUCAAAUUUUUGAAUUUCUUUGAAUUUGAAAUUCAAAUUUGAGGAUCAGAUCUACAGGGAGGAUUUUCGGGAGAAGUUAAGAGCUGGAAGGUUUUGGGGACUUUUCAGAGAUGUGUAAACUUGUUAAUUAAGGCACUAGGCAUGCCAUUUAUAGGCAAGAAGAAGGACAAGAAGGUUCUAGAAGUUUUCACUCAUUUUCCCCCCUUUUUAUUUUCAGAAAUUACUUACUAACUCUAAUGUUCUGACUUGUUUCUCAAGUCACUGCCCUAAGAAUACUGAAACUUACACUAAGACCCUCUUGUGUAAGGACCUAGGAUGUUCUAGCUUUGUUUUCUACCUAUGUAAUACCUAUAUUACCCUCACUUUUAUUUAUAAAUUACUGAGCCUUAUCAAACUAACCCAUAAUAGGUUCCCAAGUUACCCUUUAAUACCUCUGAAAUUAUUAACCAAUCCCAACCCCUUUUAUCUUAGUUAAAGUCCAACAAUAGUUAACUAAGACUAAAUUAUUCAGCUAUAUCCAAUCACCUAAGCCCAAUUACUUUAAAAAUGAGCACUGAAUUAUAGAACAAUUAAAACUAAACUAAUUAAACUAACAGAAAGAUUAAUUCAAUCAAACCCAAAAUCAAACAUUGUUCAAAACAGGUUUGAAACAACAAUUAAACUAAAAUCCAAAACUACCAACCCAAGAUUGAACAAAAUGAAACAAAAUUAACUAUAAAGCACAUACAGAAAUCAACCCUAAGAAUAAAAGAAAAAGCUACUGCAUUUAAACCAAAUAUUAAACUUAUUAUCAUAAUCUGAAUCGGUCAGUAAAAUUCAAAUAAGGCCAAAACAGGAUCAAUUAAAUAGAUUAACAAAGCCUUCAACUAAUAAUCAAACAAAAACCAAAGAUCAAAACAAAUAAAAAUCUUAAAAGGAAUGAACAAACAAGCAGAACUGAGUACAAAAUCAGAACAGAGGUGACAAAAAAUCAAAGCGAAAAAUAAUUACAACAUCCAUUCAUUAAGCACAAACAGUCAUAUAAUUGAAUCAAACACAUGAAAGAAGAAGAAAACAGAAAUGAACUGUAAAAAACUUACUGUUAUGACUCUAGGGUUCCGGUGCCUUAUAAAUCAACUCCAGUGAUAUUUGAAUGUCACUGGUGGUGGAUUCUUCAUGAGGAGAUUAAGGAGGCCAGGUGAUAUUGAUUUGAUGGGGAUUGGUUGAUUUAGGGUUUUGAUGAAAUCUGUGAUUUAAGAUUCAAGGAUUUCGAUGAGGAUUUGAGUAAAAAGGUUUAUGGAUUUGAAGAGAAGAGGGUGAGGAGACUCUGUGGUGUUAUUUUGGUGGUGAAUGGAGCCGGUGCCGCUGGAUACCGCAGAGACGAUGACCAUAGCUUUGAUGAUUCGAGGAGUUUGGGAAUGAGAUUGAGAGAAAAUACUAUAGGGGUUGGAAAGAGAUCUUCUAGAGUUUUGGGAGGGAUUGGAGCUUAGCCACCGGCGGAGACGAUUUCCGGCCGGCGGUGACGGCGGAGGAACGCGGUGACAUGGUACGAGGAAGAAGGGAAACGUUUUAAGGUUUGUUUUGAUAUUUAGGAUAGUUUUAUGUAAUGUUGGAUUUAAGCAAGGGCCGUUAGAUUUGGG